GCACAUAUGAUGAAGCAAAUCAGUAUGAACAGUCAUGAUACUGUAAACGCUUUCUGAUGUG
rnacentral:snoRNA from 1 species